UAAACUUUGAUCCAAAUCAGGCUUAGGGCCAC
rnacentral:piRNA from 2 species